UACGUAGGGUGCAAGCGUUGCCCGGAUUUAUUGGGCGUAAAGGGCGCGUAGGCGGCUCGGCCCGUCCGUUGUGAAAUCGCCCGGCUCAACUGGGCGGGGUCAGCGGAUACGGCCGAGCUUGAGCAAGCUAGGGGGCAAUGGAAUUCCCGGUGUAGCGGUGGAAUGCGUAGAGAUCGGGAAGAACAUCAGUGGCGAAGGCGGUCUGCUGGGCCGUUGCUGACGCUGAGGCGCGACAGCGUGGGGAGCAAACAGG
rnacentral:rRNA from 1 species